GUGUAGGUGGCUCAUUAAGUCACAUGUGAAAUCCCCGGGCUUAACCUGGGAACUGCAUGUGAUACUGGUGGUGCUAGAAUAUGUGAGAGGGAAGUAGAAUUCCAGGUGUAGCGGUGAAAUGCGUAGAGAUCUGGAGGAAUACCGAUGGCGAAGGCAGCUUCCUGGCAUAAUAUUGACACUGAGAUUCGAAAGCGUGGGUAGCAAACAGGAUUAGAUACCCUGGUAGUCCACGCCGUAAACGAUGUCUACUAGCCGUUGGGGUCCUUGAGACUUUAGUGGCGCAGUUAACGCGAUAAGUAGACCGCCUGGGGAGUACGGCCGCAAGGUUAAAACUCAAAUGAAUUGACGGGGGCCCGCACAAGCGGUGGAGCAUGUGGUUUAAUUCGAUGCAACGCGAAGAACCUUACCUGGUCUUGACAUAGUGAGAAUCUUUCAGAGAUGAGAGAGUGCCUUCGGGAAUUCACAUACAGGUGCUGCAUGGCUGUCGUCAGCUCGUGUCGUGAGAUGUUGGGUUAAGUCCCGCAACGAGCGCAACCCUUUUCCUUAUUUGCCAGCGGGUUAAGCCGGGAACUUUAAGGAUACUGCCAGUGACAAACUGGAGGAAGGCGAGGACGACGUCAAGUCAUCAUGGCCCUUACGACCAGGGCUACACACGUGCUACAAUGGUAGGUACAGAGGGUUGCUACACAGCGAUGUGAUGCUAAUCUCAAAAAGCCUAUCGUAGUCCGGAUUGGAGUCUGCAACUCGACUCCAUGAAGUCGGAAUCGCUAGU
rnacentral:rRNA from 1 species